GGUUAAGCGACUAAGCGUACACGGUGGAUGCCCUGGCAGUCAGAGGCGAUGAAGGACGUGCUAAUCUGCGAUAAGCGUCGGUAAGGUGAUAUGAACCGUUAUAACCGGCGAUUUCCGAAUGGGGAAACCCAGUGUGUUUCGACACACUAUCAUUAACUGAAUCCAUAGGUUAAUGAGGCGAACCGGGGGAACUGAAACAUCUAAGUACCCCGAGGAAAAGAAAUCAACCGAGAUUCCCCCAGUAGCGGCGAGCGAACGGGGAGGAGCCCAGAGUCUGAAUCAGUGUGUGUGUUAGUGGAAGCGUCUGGAAAGGCGCGCGAUACAGGGUGACAGCCCCGUACACAAAAAUGCACAUACUGUGAGCUCGAUGAGUAGGGCGGGACACGUGGUAUCCUGUCUGAAUAUGGGGGGACCAUCCUCCAAGGCUAAAUACUCCUGACUGACCGAUAGUGAACCAGUACCGUGAGGGAAAGGCGAAAAGAACCCCGGCGAGGGGAGUGAAAAAGAACCUGAAACCGUGUACGUACAAGCAGUGGGAGCCUCUUUUAUGGGGUGACUGCGUACCUUUUGUAUAAUGGGUCAGCGACUUAUAUUCUGUAGCAAGGUUAACCGAAUAGGGGAGCCGAAGGGAAACCGAGUCUUAACUGGGCGUUAAGUUGCAGGGUAUAGACCCGAAACCCGGUGAUCUAGCCAUGGGCAGGUUGAAGGUUGGGUAACACUAACUGGAGGACCGAACCGACUAAUGUUGAAAAAUUAGCGGAUGACUUGUGGCUGGGGGUGAAAGGCCAAUCAAACCGGGAGAUAGCUGGUUCUCCCCGAAAGCUAUUUAGGUAGCGCCUCGUGAAUUCAUCUCCGGGGGUAGAGCACUGUUUCGGCAAGGGGGUCAUCCCGACUUACCAACCCGAUGCAAACUGCGAAUACCGGAGAAUGUUAUCACGGGAGACACACGGCGGGUGCUAACGUCCGUCGUGAAGAGGGAAACAACCCAGACCGCCAGCUAAGGUCCCAAAGUCAUGGUUAAGUGGGAAACGAUGUGGGAAGGCCCAGACAGCCAGGAUGUUGGCUUAGAAGCAGCCAUCAUUUAAAGAAAGCGUAAUAGCUCACUGGUCGAGUCGGCCUGCGCGGAAGAUGUAACGGGGCUAAACCAUGCACCGAAGCUGCGGCAGCGACGCUUAUGCGUUGUUGGGUAGGGGAGCGUUCUGUAAGCCUGUGAAGGUGUGCUGUGAGGCAUGCUGGAGGUAUCAGAAGUGCGAAUGCUGACAUAAGUAACGAUAAAGCGGGUGAAAAGCCCGCUCGCCGGAAGACCAAGGGUUCCUGUCCAACGUUAAUCGGGGCAGGGUGAGUCGACCCCUAAGGCGAGGCCGAAAGGCGUAGUCGAUGGGAAACAGGUUAAUAUUCCUGUACUUGGUGUUACUGCGAAGGGGGGACGGAGAAGGCUAUGUUGGCCGGGCGACGGUUGUCCCGGUUUAAGCGUGUAGGCUGGUUUUCCAGGCAAAUCCGGAAAAUCAAGGCUGAGGCGUGAUGACGAGGCACUACGGUGCUGAAGCAACAAAUGCCCUGCUUCCAGGAAAAGCCUCUAAGCAUCAGGUAACAUCAAAUCGUACCCCAAACCGACACAGGUGGUCAGGUAGAGAAUACCAAGGCGCUUGAGAGAACUCGGGUGAAGGAACUAGGCAAAAUGGUGCCGUAACUUCGGGAGAAGGCACGCUGAUAUGUAGGUGAAGUCCCUUGCGGAUGGAGCUGAAAUCAGUCGAAGAUACCAGCUGGCUGCAACUGUUUAUUAAAAACACAGCACUGUGCAAACACGAAAGUGGACGUAUACGGUGUGACGCCUGCCCGGUGCCGGAAGGUUAAUUGAUGGGGUCAGCGCAAGCGAAGCUCUUGAUCGAAGCCCCGGUAAACGGCGGCCGUAACUAUAACGGUCCUAAGGUAGCGAAAUUCCUUGUCGGGUAAGUUCCGACCUGCACGAAUGGCGUAAUGAUGGCCAGGCUGUCUCCACCCGAGACUCAGUGAAAUUGAACUCGCUGUGAAGAUGCAGUGUACCCGCGGCAAGACGGAAAGACCCCGUGAACCUUUACUAUAGCUUGACACUGAACAUUGAGCCUUGAUGUGUAGGAUAGGUGGGAGGCUUAGAAGUGUGGACGCCAGUCUGCAUGGAGCCGACCUUGAAAUACCACCCUUUAAUGUUUGAUGUUCUAACGUUGACCCGUAAUCCGGGUUGCGGACAGUGUCUGGUGGGUAGUUUGACUGGGGCGGUCUCCUCCUAAAGAGUAACGGAGGAGCACGAAGGUUGGCUAAUCCUGGUCGGACAUCAGGAGGUUAGUGCAAUGGCAUAAGCCAGCUUGACUGCGAGCGUGACGGCGCGAGCAGGUGCGAAAGCAGGUCAUAGUGAUCCGGUGGUUCUGAAUGGAAGGGCCAUCGCUCAACGGAUAAAAGGUACUCCGGGGAUAACAGGCUGAUACCGCCCAAGAGUUCAUAUCGACGGCGGUGUUUGGCACCUCGAUGUCGGCUCAUCACAUCCUGGGGCUGAAGUAGGUCCCAAGGGUAUGGCUGUUCGCCAUUUAAAGUGGUACGCGAGCUGGGUUUAGAACGUCGUGAGACAGUUCGGUCCCUAUCUGCCGUGGGCGCUGGAGAACUGAGGGGGGCUGCUCCUAGUACGAGAGGACCGGAGUGGACGCAUCACUGGUGUUCGGGUUGUCAUGCCAAUGGCACUGCCCGGUAGCUAAAUGCGGAAGAGAUAAGUGCUGAAAGCAUCUAAGCACGAAACUUGCCCCGAGAUGAGUUCUCCCUGACUCCUUGAGAGUCCUGAAGGAACGUUGAAGACGACGACGUUGAUAGGCCGGGUGUGUAAGCGCAGCGAUGCGUUGAGCUAACCGGUACUAAUGAACCGUGAGGCUUAACCUU
rnacentral:rRNA from 1 species